UAUAUCUCAGUUGGUAGAGUGCUUGCCUUGCAUGCACAAGACCCUGGGUUCAAUUCCCAGUA
rnacentral:tRNA from 1 species